rnacentral:lncRNA from 1 species
ACUGCUGAGACGCAUAAAGAAAUCUUAGCUGGAAUGCCUUCUCAGAAUCUUGAUUUUCAAAGUGAUGGAUUGGGAGAUCCCAAGCCAUGAAUAAAGGGUGCUCAUCACAGAUGGAACAAUGGCGAGAGCACACCUGGACAGGGGAGGGGCAGGAGUUCUGAUUCCUGACACAGGUUUCCUGGUUGAAUGUUCUGUUGUAGAAGAAUGCAACUGAGUUUUCUAAACAGAUCUUCUUCUUGACAUCCUUGCUGAACGAGAGCAAAGGAGACAGCUGGGAGCAGAUGGGCAAAUCCCAGUUUGCCCAAAGAAAUGUCUAUUUUCCAAGGGGCAUGAAGAAUUUAGGAAUAAAGCAGAUCUGAUUUCUAAUUCUGACUUUGCUACUGGCAAAUUGUGUGGACUCAGGAAAGUGACCGGCCCUCUUUAAGACUCAGUGUGCUUACCUCUGAAAUGGAGCUGUCAAUCACAUCUGCCUCACAGGCUUGUUCUGAGGAUGAAGUGAGAAAAUGCCCACGAGGUGCUGGUUGCAGCAGCUGGUGCAUAGAGCUUAAAAAGGAUGCAGUCCCAAAACAUAGAAGGAUUUACUCCAGAUCCAAGCAAUGAGUCAGGAACAGAAAGCCUGAUGCCCUCACCUGGAACUCUCCCUCCUCCCUGGAUGAGGACCUUCCCCAGAAUUGCAGGGCACCCACACAAGACCAAGCAAGUUCAGAGAAAAUUGAAACCUGACUUUAGAGCCUCUGGGAUGUUCACUACACCUCAUUGAACCUGUUUGGUUCACAGUAGAGCUCCAACUACCGUCUACUUCCUGCAACUGGCCUGCUGCCAACUCCCCAGAUCUCUUGUGGAGCUGCCGGAAGAGACAGCCUGCCACAGAAGAAAGCAGCCCUCCUCUUUCAUGGCCUCCCACAUCUUGAAACAAACACAAGCAAACAAAACAAAAGCUUGAGUCCCAGCCUGAUUCACCAGGUUUGGUUCCCAAUUGUUGAAAUUCCCUUCCCAGGGCUCUCAGAACCAGGGUUGGCUGGAGGGGUGAAAGAGGCUGGCCCUGAGCCCAGUAAUAGGACACCAAGGGGGAGCUAAAAGCUGGGAUCUGGGGUGAAGAUGGGGUCUUCCAAGCUGGGAGGCAGACACCAGGCCAGAGCAACCGGCCUGCCCCAGCUCAGGCCUCUUAACCCAUGCAGGGCAAGAGUAUAAACAGAGGCCACGGACCACAUGCCUCAGUAUUUAAACUUAUAAAUCAAGCUAACAUAACAUGAAAUCAAAUAUGUUCUAUCCUCCUAGCUUGACAAAUACUUUCAUAACGAGAUGGAAUGCCAGGUUCAGAUUUAGAAUUUUCACACUCCUUAAAGUUCCAAG